AUGGUGACCAGUACUUGGACGGACAUGGGUGACGAACGUGAACGGCUCGUGCGCUGUAGCGUCAGAGGGAGAAAGCGGCGUGGUGGCGAGGGACCUCCCCGGGAGCAGCCGAGGGUGGGCGUGAAGAUUCAGACCGGUGGCGCCGCGCGAGGGCUGGGUCGCGCCGGUGGCCAUAGCUCGUCUGUGGGAGGUCGAGCCCGCGGAUGCUGGAGGUGGCCGCACCGGGUGGAUGUUGGUGGCGGCGAGCCAAGGGAUGGCGGUGGCGAGGAGGAUGGCGGCGCCGGCAGCCAGGAAGCAGGGCGCAGGGCGGCGGGGAGGUAG
rnacentral:rRNA from 1 species